rnacentral:tRNA from 1 species
CCUUCGAUAGCUCAGCUGGUAGAGCGGAGGACUGUAGUGUGCUCUCACUGGAGGGAUCCUUAGGUCGCUGGUUCGAUUCCGGCUCGGAGGA